CCUUUUAGAUUAGGGUUUAAGUUUGAAAUGCACAGCUCACCGUCCUCACAAAUAAGAUCUAAUCUUCCGCAGCCACAUGUAUUUUCAUUCUUAUCCAUGGUGCUGCCCAGCACUUUUCCUCGACGUCCUGCCCAAGUGCCACAAGGAGUUAAGCAGCGCACAACAAAAGGAACCACCAAUUCUUGGCUGGAAGCAAGAGGUUGCGUUACAACACAUUCCCGAGCCACCUGAUUGUGAUGCUCCCGUUCACUGUCCGCCUCCGGAGCCGUGCAUCAGCCAUGACGGGAUGAUUCUCCGGGAAAGGAUUGCAGCGAGGCGUGCCGCAAUUGCAAGCUCCAAGAAUGUGAAAAUCCCUCUCUUCAAGAGGCAUUCCAUCGCCACCACGCACCCUCUGAGCUUUGAAAUGAAUAAAAAUCUUAAUGUAGUUAGCUAAAAUCAUUCAAUUUAAAUAAAAGAAGAGUAACAAGCAAGUCA